UGUCAGGCGGGCAGUUUGACUGGGGCGGUCGCCUCCUAAAGAGUAACGGAGGCGCUCAAAGGUUCCCUCAGAAUGGUUGGAAAUCAUUCAUAGAGUGUAAAGGCAUAAGGGAGCUUGACUGCGAGACCUACAAGUCGAGCAGGGUCGAAAGACGGACUUAGUGAUCCGGUGGUUCCGCAUGGAAGGGCCAUCGCUCAACGGAUAAAAGCUACCCCGGGGAUAACAGGCUUAUCUCCCCCAAGAGUUCACAUCGACGGGGAGGUUUGGCACCUCGAUGUCGGCUCAUCGCAUCCUGGGGCUGUAGUCGGUCCCAAGGGUUGGGCUGUUCGCCCAUUAAAGCGGUACGCGAGCUGGGUUCAGAACGUCGUGAGACAGUUCGGUCCCUAUCCGUCGUGGGCGUAGGAAAUUUGAGAGGAGCUGUCCUUAGUACGAGAGGACCGGGAUGGACAUACCUCUGGUGUACCAGUUGUCGUGCCAACGGCAUAGCUGGGUAGCUAUGUAUGGACGGGAUAAGUGCUGAAAGCAUCUAAGCAUGAAGCCCCCCUCGAGAUGAGAUUUCCCAACUUCGGUUAUAAG
rnacentral:rRNA from 1 species